rnacentral:lncRNA from 1 species
UCUUUUUUGUCAAUCUUACUACACUAAUAAUUAGAUAUAAAUACGUAGUAUACACAUCCAAAAACUUGAAAAUAGUUACUUAUAGGUUUGAUGUUCUAUAACUUUUAAAAGGAUGAAAGAAAAUAUAACCUUUGUUAACGAAGCCAAUUGAUCACAAAAGUCGUAGUCUUUAUUAUUCUACCUCAAAUCAUCUAGGGACAUCU